UACGGGGGGGGCAAGCGUUGUUCGGAAUUACUGGGCGUAAAGGGCUCGUAGGCGGCCAACUAAGUCAUACGUGAAAUCCCCCGGCUUAACCGGGGAACUGCGUCUGAUACUGGAUGGCUUGAGUUCGGGAGAGGGAUGCGGAAUUCCAGGUGUAGCGGUGAAAUGCGUAGAUAUCUGGAGGAACACCGGUGGCGAAGGCGGCAUCCUGGACCGAGUACUGACGCUGAGGAGCGAAAGCCAGGGGAGCAAACGGG
rnacentral:rRNA from 1 species